CAGCAGCCGCGGGAAUACGUAGGGUGCAAGCGUUAAUCGGAAUUACUGGGCGUAAAGCGUGCGCAGGCGGUUUUGUAAGACAGAGGUGAAAUCCCCGGGCUCAACCUGGGAACUGCCUUUGUGACUGCAAGGCUAGAGUACGGCAGAGGGGGAUGGAAUUCCGCGUGUAGCAGUGAAAUGCGUAGAUAUGCGGAGGAACACCGAUGGCGAAGGCAAUCCCCUGGGCCUGUACUGACGCUCAUGCACGAAAGCGUGGGGAGCAAACAGGAUUAGAUACCCCCGUAGUCCCUGUCUCUUAUAC
rnacentral:rRNA from 1 species